ACAGGAAUGGUGUAAGGGCUAGCAUGGAGGCUUCCCACUUUUCAGUGGCCUGAAAACGGAUAUUUGCUUCCGAUCCGGGUUCGAGUCCCGGUUCCUGUA
rnacentral:tRNA from 2 species